AAACUGGUCUUUAGGUCCAUACCACAAAUACACAAGGUAGAGAGAGUUACCAAAAUGUUUCAACAAAACUUUAACACCAUGAUCAUGUUCAUCUUUAUCCUGUGUUCCUUCUCAAAAGAGGCCAUAGCCCAAACAAAAGAGGCUGCACAUGAUGUGAGACUUGUCAAUGUAGUCCGAUUGAUAAGUUCAACUGUUGUGGUCGUACUUCUACUGACUGUAGUGGCUGUUAUUACUACUGUCCAAACAUGACGCAGCAACUGAAGGGCCUAAAGCAGAAGCCGUGUACCAGACCACACACAUAGACAGGAUGUUGUCAGUACAUUUAAUAACGGCAAGCUGCAAUCUAUUUUCAAGCCAUACAUUACAUGUGGACUGUUGAUCUUGCAUUGUGCAAACAUACAAUAUCUGUCUUGUCUACUCACUCCUUGCAUGCUGUAGUUUAAUGUAGUGGACAUUACUGUUUGUCAACUCCACAUUUUCAUUAUGUUGAUGACUGACACACUCAGUAUUCCAUUUCAUGUUUUACUCAUGCACUAGUUGAGCUACUGAGCUAGUGAACAACAAUGUAUGGAUCCCUGCAAUGG